GUCAUAAAUUCGGCUCCUAUUUUUUUCCAUUUUGUGUCGAGCGCACGCGUAGUCGAAGAGCCUGCGGAGGAGACGACAACUUCCGGUAAAUAAGUGUACUUCCGGGAAAUUUCAAGCAUCGGCCAAAGCGAAACGGAACCCGAAGCUGUCCUUGCACAAAAUCCGUCAAAAUUGUUGAUUUAAAACCAGAAGAUGUGAUAAUUU